rnacentral:lncRNA from 1 species
GUUGACCUCAUCUGGGCUGCAGUUGGUGACUGCUCGAAGGGGUGGGAGGAACAGUAUAAAGUCCUGUCCCCUUCCUGCCUUCAAGGGCACCCCUGAAGGACCAUAUCCACUGUGGACCCCCUUGGGAUCAGCCGAGGUCUGUAGAGGUGACAUUGCAGCCCAGCACCUCCCUCCUCCGCCCUGCCCUCCUCUGUCCUCCUUCCACAGGUGUGGCCAAGGGCACUGCCCAGUUGGCCUGUGACCCCCAGCUGAGGCUGCUUCCUGGGCAGCUGACUUCAAGUUUGUGACCUGAGCUCUCCAGGCCCCCGAGCGGCUGGUGCCUUGGCCCUGCAGUUCUGCGGCCAAGACUCCUCCUCUGGGAUCUCGUCUUACCCUGCUGCGGGUGCCAGGGCUGCAUGAAGCAAGGGCGAAAGUCCCCUUCGCCCGGGCGCUGCCCUCUGCCUGCUGUCCCCUGUGCUCCUGUUCCCCGUGGCUGCCCAGGGACAGGUGUGUGGGAUGGAGGACGCGGGAGAGGCUGAGUCCUCCCCAGUGGACCCCCAGAUGCAGACCCUGAGGCAAGGGAGAGUGAGAAAGUGAAGGAAAGAACACAGCUGGAAAUGCAACCAAGAAGGAACCCCAGCCCGGACCACUGUGAGCAAGGAGAGCCGAGCCCCGGGGAGCCCUGAGACAGUGUGGGAGUGGAGGCCUGGGGCGCCUCCAGGCAAGGCAGCGGGAUGUCUAUGCCCCAAGCCCUGCCAGUCGUGGAUGGAGACGCACACUUUAGUGCGGGCUCCAGAGACAGAGGGAGCCCCAGGCCGAGAGCUGUGGGUGCUGGGCAGGUGGGCAUUGGCCAGCAUUGCCCCCACUCAUGGCGGGUCCACCUUAAUUCGACGGGUGUGACACUCUCCUCACACAUGUGCACAUUCAAGAGGCAACUGUCUGUUUCUAUAACUGGGUGCAUUUCGGUCUGGAGCCGUCGAGCCGGGUGGUGGCCAUGAAUCCCAGGCAACUUGGGGGGCCCAAUCCAGGGUUGCCUUUUGGGGGCCUUGGGGCGGCUAGUGCAGUUCCACAUGCUGUUAAGGACCUUGAGAUGGGAGAUUAUUCUGGAUGGUCAGGGUGGGCACAGUUUAAUCACAGCCCCUCUAAGAGGGACUGGGAGGGUCAGGGUCAGAGGAGGAGAGGGGACGACGGAAGGGAGAGAGAGGCUGGGAGAUGCCGUGCAGCCAAGGAGGGCAGGAACCUCUAGAAACCACAAAAGGCGAGGACACAAUCUCUCCCCUGAGGCAGAGACCCAGGGCUGCCCCGCACAGUCGCGCAGAUCGUGUACUGCCCUGCUCCUGGGGCUCAUUCACACAGGUUGCCAUGGCUGUGGGGUCCCUGGGGCUGGGCUAUCUGCCAACCUGGGGGACGCUGCACCCUGUUUUCUGUCCUGUCUACUCCAGCUUUUCACACUCUCUGUUGCCCUUGUCCUUGGGCAUCUCAGUGACUCGAAGGAAUUGGGUCUUGAGACACAGCCGAGCCUGUGAGCGCUGACCUGUGUAAAGAAGACACCAGAAUGAGAUGUCUCCACACACAGAGAGCUGCAGCCGAUGCCGGCCGGUGACUUGGGACUUGGAUGCUUAACAGGAGGCUCCCCCUCUCUUGGGAGGUAGAGAGCAGUGAGGAAGGGGACUCAGCCUCCAUGCCUCCCGCCAGCCCAGCUGCGCCCGAAUCACCUCCCUCCUGAAAGGAUGUCAGCCUCUGCUUGGACACCGUGGAGACAGGGCCCUCCUUGUGCUUCAGAAGCAUCAACGUGUCAGAAAAUCAUCUUCACGCCAAGUCUGGAAAAAAUGGCUUUGAGGUUGUGCACACAAAGGAAGGAGGGAGAGCCCCAGGUGUCGCGGAGGACCAUGCGGCUGACAGAGCCAGCAGGGCGGUGGCGUGUGAGCCGUGCUCUGGAUAUAUAAGGAUCUGACGCUGCUGGCAAUGUCUGAGCUCUAUGCUCGCCCAUCUGUCGGCUGCUAUCAUCACCGGGUGGGAUUAGCGGAGAUCCACUCUUUCAUAUUUAAAUCUUCACAAGAGAAUGAAUCACUUUUAUAAUAAAAGAAAAAGACCGUC